rnacentral:rRNA from 1 species
UACGUAGGCAGCGAGCGUUGUUCGGAGUUACUGGGCGUAAAGAGUGCGUAGGCGGUUUUCUAAGUUUGGUGUGAAAUCUCCCGGCUUAACUGGGAGGGUGCGCCGAAAACUGGAAGGCUUGAGUAUGGGAGAGGUAAGCGGAAUUCCUGGUGUAGCGGUGAAAUGCGUAGAUAUCAGGAGGAACACCAAUGGCGAAGGCAGCUCGCUGGAACGGUACUGACGCUGAGGCGCGAAAGCGUGGGGAGCGAACAGG